AGGUGCAUUCAUGCCAACACUAAUACACUGGAACCUGUCAAAAUUACGUAGUUAAGCGUGCUUGAACAACAGUAGUAUUAGGAUACGUGAUCUCCUGGAAAUUUCUAGUGUUGCAGCUC
rnacentral:rRNA from 1 species